rnacentral:rRNA from 1 species
GCUGUAAGCAAGCUUUGAUCCGGAGAUUUCCGAAUGGGGAAACCCACCACUCGUAAUGGAGUGGUAUCCAUAUCUGAAUUCAUAGGAUAUGAGAAGGCAGACCCGGGGAACUGAAACAUCUAAGUACCCGGAGGAAGAGAAAGCAAAUGCGAUUCCCUGAGUAGCGGCGAGCGAAACGGGAUUAGCCCAAACCAAGAGGCUUGCCUCUUGGGGUUGUAGGACACUCUAUACGGAGUUACAAAGGAACGAGGUAGAUGAAGAGGUCUGGAAAGGCCCGCCAUAGGAGGUAACAGCCCUGUAGUCAAAACUUCGUUCUCUCCAGAGUGGAUCCUGAGUACGGCGGAACACGUGAAAUUCCGUCGGAAUCCGGGAGGACCAUCUCCCAAGGCUAAAUACUCCCUAGUGACCGAUAGUGAACCAGUACCGUGAGGGAAAGGUGAAAAGCACCCCGGAAGGGGAGUGAAAGAGAUCCUGAAACCGUGUGCCUACAAGUAGUCAGAGCCCGUUAACGGGUGAUGGCGUGCCUUUUGUAGAAUGAACCGGCGAGUUACGAUCCCGUGCAAGGUUAAGCAGAAGAUGCGGAGCCGCAGCGAAAGCGAGUCUGAAUAGGGCGCAUGAGUACGUGGUCGUAGACCCGAAACCAGGUGAUCUACCCAUGUCCAGGGUGAAGUUCAGGUAACACUGAAUGGAGGCCCGAACCCACGCACGUUGAAAAGUGCGGGGAUGAGGUGUGGGUAGGGGUGAAAUGCCAAUCGAACCUGGAGAUAGCUGGUUCUCUCCGAAAUAGCUUUAGGGCUAGCCUCAAGGUAAGAGUCUUGGAGGUAGAGCACUGAUUGGACUAGGGGCCCCUACCGGGUUACCGAAUUCAGUCAAACUCCGAAUGCCAAUGACUUAUCCUUGGGAGUCAGACUGCGAGUGAUAAGAUCCGUAGUCGAAAGGGAAACAGCCCAGACCGCCAGCUAAGGUCCCAAAGUAUACGUUAAGUGGAAAAGGAUGUGGAGUUGCUUAGACAACCAGGAUGUUGGCUUAGAAGCAGCCACCAUUUAAAGAGUGCGUAAUAGCUCACUGGUCGAGUGACUCUGCGCCGAAAAUGUACCGGGGCUAAACGUAUCACCGAAGCUGCGGACUGUUCUUCGAACAGUGGUAGGAGAGCGUUCUAAGGGCUGUGAAGCCAGACCGGAAGGACUGGUGGAGCGCUUAGAAGUGAGAAUGCCGGUAUGAGUAGCGAAAGAGGGGUGAGAAUCCCCUCCACCGAAUGCCU